AGUCAAGUAAUUAAGUGCAUGUGGUGGAUGCCUUGGCAGUCAGAGGCGAUGAAAGACGUGAUAGCCUGCGAAAAGCUCCGGGGAGGCGGCAAAUAUCCUUUGAUCCGGAGAUGUCUGAAUGGGGGAACCCACCUACUUUAAGGUAGGUAUUGCAACAUGAAUACAUAGUGUUGCAAGGCGAACGAGGGGAAGUGAAACAUCUCAGUACCCUUAGGAAAAGAAAUCAAUUGAGAUUCCCUCAGUAGCGGCGAGCGAACGGGGAUCAGCCCAUUAAGUUAUGUGUGUUUUAGUGGAACGCUCUGGGAAGUGCGAACGUAGAGGGUGAUAUUCCCGUACACGAAAGGGCACACAUAAUGAUGACGAGUAGGGCGAGGCACGUGAAACCUUGUCUGAAUAUGGGGGGACCAUCCUCCAAGGCUAAAUACUCCUGACUGACCGAUAGUGAACCAGUACCGUGAGGGAAAGGCGAAAAGAACCCCUGUGAGGGGAGUGAAAUAGAUCCUGAAACCGCAUGCAUACAAGCAGUGGGAGCACCUUCGUGGUGUGACUGCGUACCUUUUGUAUAAUGGGUCAGCGACUUAUAUUCAGUAGCGAGGUUAACCGUAUAGGGGAGCCGUAGAGAAAUCGAGUCUUAAUAGGGCGUUUA
rnacentral:rRNA from 1 species